rnacentral:rRNA from 1 species
GACGGAGAGUGCAAACGUUGUUCGGAUUUACUGGGCGUAGAGGGCACGUAGGCGGCCAGGCAAAUCAGUUGUGGAAUCCCGACGCCUACCGUCGGAACGGCAAUUGAAAAUACCUGGCUCGAGGGCAUGAGGGGUCGCGGGAACUCUUGGUGGAGCGGUGAAAUGCGUAGAUAUCAAGAGGAACGCCGGAGGCGAAAGCGCGCGACUGGUAUGUCCCUGACGCUGAGGUGCGAAAGCCGGGGGAGCAAACAGG